UUCAGUUGUGUUGUCCAGUGUUGUGCUACAUUAUGUUGUCUUAUGUUGUGGUGUGUGGUAUUUUGUUGUGUUGUGGUACCUUUAGUUGGAAUUCCUAUCCAGCUGAUGUAUCUGGUUACCAUCUUGUGUUAUGUUGUUUUGUGUUGUGUUGUCUUGUCUUCUGUUGUGGUGUGCUGUCUUGUAUUCUAUUGUCUUGUGUUGUGGUACCUUUAGUUGGAACUCCUAUCCAGUUGAUGUAUCGGGUUGUCUUUUGUUGUGUUGUGUGGUGUUGUCUUUUGUGGUGUGUAGUGUUGUCUUGUGUUGUAUUGUGUUGUGGUGUGUUCAGUUGUGUUGUCCAGUGUUGUGCUACAUUAUGUUGUCUUAUGUUGUGGUAUUUUGUUGUGUUGUGGUACCUUUAGUUGGAAUUCCUAUCCAGCUGAUGUAUCUGGUUACCAUCUUGUGUUAUGUUGUUAUGUGUUGUGUUGUCUUGUGUUGUCUUCUGUUGUUUUGUUUUGUGUUGAGUCGUGUUCUGCUACCUUUAGUUGGAACUCCUAUCCAGUUGAGGUAUUUGGUUAACUUCUUGUGUUGUGUGAUGUUGUGUUGGAAUUGGGGUGUGUUGUGUUGUGGUACUGUUUCUUGGAACUUCUAUUCAGUUGAGGUAUCUGCUUAACGUGUUGUGUUGUGUUGUGUUGUGUUGUCUUGUGUUGCCACGUGUUGUUUUGUGAUGUGUUGUGUGUAUUGUUGUGUACCUUUAGUUGGAAUUCCUAUCCAGUUGAGGUAUCUGGUUAACUUCUUGUGUUGGGUUGUGUUGUGUGUGUGUGUGUGGUAUUGUGUAAUGUGUUGUGUUGUGUUGUAGUACCUUUAGUGGGAACUCCUAUCCUGUUGAGGUAUCUGGUUAACUUCUUGGAAAUGUAGGUCUUUCCUCUAGCAGGCAGCCCCACCAUCACAAUCAUAGUAGGAGAGUUAGUGAACUAGGGGACGGAUGCUGAAACACACACACACACACACACACACACACACACACACAUCAGUUUUAGACGAAUGGAUAGACCAUGUAGCACAAGCACAGAUGUACACACACACUAACCAUACAGACAUGGUCUUAGUCUUAGGGGUGAAUGGCCCUCAGGUCUCUCUCAGUGAGGUACACAGUGUUCCAUAAUGCAAGUCCUACCCUGACCCCAACACACACACACACACACACGGACACAAUUUGAAACAAUACCAAGGUUCCGUAGGUUACGAGCACCAACCUGUCCACUACAGGUUAUGAACCACACAGAGACCGACUGGUGUGUGUGUCUGGUGUUUCUGUGUGUAUAUUUGUGUGUGUGUAAGUCGCUCUGGAUAAGAGCGUCUGCUAAAUGACGAAAAUGUAAUGAAAAAUGUGUAAAACUGAGUUGUUCAAGCAUAACACGUCAACCCUGUUACCCAUAGAUAGACAAAUAUAUAACAUUAUAUAUAAUAUGAAAUUCAAUUGCCACUCCCUGUUGCACACAACAAUCUUCCAUUCCCCCUGUCACAAUGGCUGAUUUCAGAUAAAAUUGUCAAACCUGUUACAGUCAACCCUGUUAGUUUAUUCGGCACUUAAUACUACUUUUUUGAGAUGGGAAAACAUGUUUAACCUGUGCUCUUUAUGGCAGAAUGUAAAAAUGAGGUGAAA